CCAUGCUCCGCCAGAUCUUCUUUAAGGCCAAGAAGCACCCAAGCUCGAUCUCCCUCUUUGUAUUUAUUGGUGUUGGAGGUACUGGAGCUACACUCUAUCUCAUGCAUCUGGCGAUGUUCAAUCCAGAUGUUAGUUGGGACAGAAAGAAUUACCCACAGCCCUGGAACAAACUGGGUUCCAGUGAUCAAUACAAGUUCUACUCAGUGAAUGUGGAUUACAGCAAACUGAAGAAAGAGAGUCCAGAGUUCUAAAUGAAAUGUUUCACUAUAAAGCUGCUUAGAAUGAGGGU